rnacentral:rRNA from 1 species
GGUCAGCCGGGACCUAAGGUGAGGCCGAAAGGCGUAGCCGAUGGACGGCAGGUUAAUAUUCCUGCGCUACUGUGGAGAUCAAUCAUGAGUGCGGAUCGGUCAGCCCUGCGUAAGCACCAGCUUGCUGAGGCCCUUGAGGCCGCUGCAGGGGGCUCUGGUCCCGAGAAAAGCUCAUGUGGCAAAGCAGUACCCGUACCAAAACCGACACAGGUAGAUGAGGUGAAUAACCUAAGGCGCUCGAGAUAACGGAAGUGAAGGAAUUAGGCAAAUUGACCCCGUAAGUUCGCGAUAAGGGGGCCCUACCCCUCGGGGAGGGCGCAGAGAAAAGGCUCUGGCGACUGUUUAUCAAAAACACAGCACUGUGCUAACUC